rnacentral:tRNA from 1 species
GGGCGAUUAGCUCAGCGGGAGAGCACUCCGUUCACACCGGAGAGGUCACUGGUUCGAUCCCAGUAUCGCCCACC